UACCAGCACCCCGAGUGGUCGGGACGAUUAUUGGGCCUAAAGCAUCCGUAGCCGGCCUUACAAGUCCUCCGUUAAAUCCAGCUGCUUAACAGAUGGGCUGCGGAGGAUACUAUAAGACUAGGAGGCAGGAGAGGCAAGCGGUACUCAGUGGGUAGGGGUAAAAUCCGUUGAUCCAUUGAAGACCACCAGUGGCGAAGGCGGCGUUGCCAGAAUGCGCUCGACGGUGAGGGAUGAA
rnacentral:rRNA from 1 species